rnacentral:rRNA from 1 species
UACGUAGGGUGCGAGCGUUAAUCGGAAUUACUGGGCGUAAAGGGCGCGUAGGCGGCCUUCUAAGUCAGACGUGAAAUCCCCGGGCUCAACCCGGGAACUGCGUCUGAUACUGGAAGGCUUGAAUCCGGGAGAGGGAUGUGGAAUUCCAGGUGUAGCGGUGAAAUGCGUAGAUAUCUGGAGGAACACCGGUGGCGAAGGCGGCAUCCUGGACCAACACUGACGCUGAGUGAGCGAAAGCCAGGGGAGCAAACGGG